rnacentral:lncRNA from 1 species
AUGAGCGAAUCUGGUUUCGUAAAGGAAAAAAGAGACAAGUAUCAAGAUCGAUCAUGUAUUUUUUAUUGUUAUGAUUCUUACUAGUGAAUUUUGUAACCUUUUUGAAUCUGUUGUGUCACAUUUGUAUUUUGUAAAUAACUAUUCCUUUGUGCUUCAUUCAUGGUUUCAUCUUAAAAGUCAUUUUUUGCGGCCGUUAAAUGAUUGUAAAUAAGGUGGUAGGGUUGGGUUCAACGGAAACCGAGAAGAACUGAUCCUAAACUAAAACUUAAAUUAAACUAAACUGUUAAAUUCAAAUUAUAAACCCUGAAAGCCGAUUUCCCCCGUACAGCUUUGGUUGGUUAUAUCAAUUGUAUGACUCGUCAUUAAACAAUCAGCACACAAAGAUUUUCCUCAUCAAAAAUUCACAGAAGCCAUUGCUAGUUGUUAAUUAAUCACACAGAUUACCGACCCUUGCUGGCCUAGCUAGAUUGUCUUGGAGUUUAUUAGUCGAUGGUGUGGUAUGUCGAAUUUUUUUUCUUUUUCGGUUACAGAUGUCAUCACGGCUCAUUUUCACUAAUAAAAGCAUCAACAUGGUGAAAAUAAAAGAAGAUAUCAAGGUGAUGGAUAAUUUGUGGAUUAAAAUAGAUCGAUGUAUAAGGAUAGAUUGGUGUAAUUUUAAGUUGUAAGUCGUAUUUUUUGU